GACAGUUUGGCCGAGUGGUCUAAGGCGCCAGAUUUAGGUUUUGGUCCGAAAGGGCGUGGGUUCAAAUACCACAGCUGUCA
rnacentral:tRNA from 1 species